rnacentral:rRNA from 1 species
GAAACNUCCCAACCGAANGACCCGAGCACCUGUUCUUUCACACGACCAUCUUGCCGGGCCCCGNCGGCCCCGUGCCGUCCNNNUCCCAGGCUUGAACAAAAACACGGCGCGGGUUGCGCCAAGGACCAAUCAAUGUUUAACCUUGCNGCCACCCCCUCCGUCUCUCGGACNGGGGGAGGCAGCGUGCGGUUGGCAAACACGAUAANUAUUAACGACUCUCGACAACGGAUAUCUCGGCUCUCGCAUCGAUGAAGAACGUAGCGAAAUGCGAUACUUGGUGUGAAUUGCAGAAUCCCGUGAACCAUCGAGUCUUUGAACGCAAGUUGCGCCCGAAGCCUUCUGGCCGAGGGCACGUCUGCCUGGGCGUCAUGCAUCGCGUCGCCACCCCACCCACCCUAACCCGGUGGRNCGAGGGGGCGCAAUGUGGCCCUCCGUGCACCCGGAUGCGCGGUUGGCUUAAAUUCGGGGCUUGCGGCAUCGAGCGCCGCGGCAAUCGGUGGCUUUUAAAGGCCGUGAGGCCGGAGACGUACAUCUUGCCGCGAAGCGUCGUGCCUCCACAGCCCGCACGACCCAAUGCGACCCCAGGUCAGGCGGGGCUACCCGCUGAGUUUAAGCAUAUCAAUAAGCGGAGGAAAAGA